rnacentral:rRNA from 1 species
UACAGAGGGGGCAAGCGUUGUUCGGAAUUACUGGGCGUAAAGCGCGUGUAGGCGGCUCGGCAAGUCGGAUGUGAAAGCCCUGGGCUUAACCUAGGAAGUGCAUUCGAAACUGCCAAGCUUGAGUUCUGGAGAGGAAGGCGGAAUUCUCGGUGUAGAGGUGAAAUUCGUAGAUAUCGAGAGGAACACCGGUGGCGAAGGCGGCCUUCUGGACAGCAACUGACGCUGAGACGCGAAAGCGUGGGGAGCAAACAGG